AGGGUUACCUGGCAGGGGAGAUACCAUGAUCACGAAAGGGGUUUUCCCAGUGCAAGGUGUAUCCAUUUCACUCCAGAUGUGCUGACCCCUGCCAUUUCCCCAAAUGUGGGAAACUUGGCUGCAUGAUUUCUGGUAGUGGGGGACUGCUUUCGUUCUUUCCCCUA